rnacentral:rRNA from 1 species
UACGGGGGGGGCAAGCGUUGUUCGGAAUUACUGGGCGUAAAGGGCGCGUAGGCGGCCUGCUAAGUCGGAUGUGAAAUCCCUCGGCUCAACCGAGGAACUGCAUCCGAUACUGGCGGGCUUGAAUCCGGGAGAGGGAUGUGGAAUUCCAGGUGUAGCGGUGAAAUGCGUAGAUAUCUGGAGGAACACCGGUGGCGAAGGCGGCAUGCUGGACCGGUAUUGACGCUGAGGCGCGAAAGCUAGGGGAGCGAAUGGG